rnacentral:rRNA from 1 species
AGAGUUUGAUCCUGGCUCAGGACGAACGCUGGCGGCGUGCCUAAUACAUGCAAGUCGAACGAACUCUGGUAUUGAUUGGUGCUUGCAUCAUGAUUUACAUUUGAGUGAGUGGCGAACUGGUGAGUAACACGUGGGAAACCUGCCCAGAAGCGGGGGAUAACACCUGGAAACAGAUGCUAAUACCGCAUAACAACUUGGACCGCAUGGUCCGAGCUUGAAAGAUGGCUUCGGCUAUCACUUUUGGAUGGUCCCGCGGCGUAUUAGCUAGAUGGUGGGGUAACGGCUCACCAUGGCAAUGAUACGUAGCCGACCUGAGAGGGUAAUCGGCCACAUUGGGACUGAGACACGGCCCAAACUCCUACGGGAGGCAGCAGUAGGGAAUCUUCCACAAUGGACGAAAGUCUGAUGGAGCAACGCCGCGUGAGUGAAGAAGGGUUUCGGCUCGUAAAACUCUGUUGUUAAAGAAGAACAUAUCUGAGAGUAACUGUUCAGGUAUUGACGGUAUUUAACCAGAAAGCCACGGCUAACUACGUGCCAGCAGCCGCGGUAAUACGUAGGUGGCAAGCGUUGUCCGGAUUUAUUGGGCGUAAAGCGAGCGCAGGCGGUUUUUUAAGUCUGAUGUGAAAGCCUUCGGCUCAACCGAAGAAGUGCAUCGGAAACUGGGAAACUUGAGUGCAGAAGAGGACAGUGGAACUCCAUGUGUAGCGGUGAAAUGCGUAGAUAUAUGGAAGAACACCAGUGGCGAAGGCGGCUGUCUGGUCUGUAACUGACGCUGAGGCUCGAAAGUAUGGGUAGCAAACAGGAUUAGAUACCCUGGUAGUCCAUACCGUAAACGAUGAAUGCUAAGUGUUGGAGGGUUUCCGCCCUUCAGUGCUGCAGCUAACGCAUUAAGCAUUCCGCCUGGGGAGU